GAUGAACGCUGGCGGCGUGCCUAAUACAUGCAAGUCGAGCGAACAGACGAGGAGCUUGCUCCUCUGACGUUAGCGGCGGACGGGUGAGUAACACGUGGAUAACCUACCUAUAAGACUGGGAUAACUUCGGGAAACCGGAGCUAAUACCGGAUAAUAUAUUGAACAGCAUGGUUCAAUAGUGAAAGACGGUUUUGCUGUCACUUAUAGAUGGAUCCGCGCCGCAUUAGCUAGUUGGUAAGGUAACGGCUUACCAAGGCGACGAUGCGUAGCCGACCUGAGAGGGUGAUCGGCCACACUGGAACUGAGACACGGUCCAGACUCCUACGGGAGGCAGCAGUAGGGAAUCUUCCGCAAUGGGCGAAAGCCUGACGGAGCAACGCCGCGUGAGUGAUGAAGGCCUUCGGAUCGUAAAACUCUGUUAUUAGGGAAGAACAAAUGUGUAAGUAACUAUGCACGUCUUGACGGUACCUAAUCAGAAAGCCACGGCUAACUACGUG
rnacentral:rRNA from 1 species